rnacentral:tRNA from 1 species
GGGAAUGUAGCUUAGUGAUAAAGCCCUUGCAUCACAUGCAAGAAGCCCUGAGUUCAAUCCCCAGUCCCA